GAUUCCCCUAGUAACUGCGAGUGAAGCGGGAAAAGCUCAAAUUUAAAAUCUGGCGGUUAUGCCGUCCGAGUUGUAAUCUGGAGAAGCGUUUUCCGUGUUGGACCGUGUACAAGUCUCUUGGAACAGAGCGUCAUAGAGGGUGAGAAUCCCGUCUUUGACACGGACUACCAAUGCUUUGUGAUACGCUCUCAAAGAGUCGAGUUGUUUGGGAAUGCAGCUCAAAAUGGGUGGUAAAUGCCAUCUAAAGCUAAAUAUUGGCGAGAGACCGAUAGCGAACAAGUACCGUGAGGGAAAGAUGAAAAGCACUUUGGAAAGAGAGUUAAACAGUACGUGAAAUUGUUGAAAGGGAAACGCUUGAAGUCAGUCGCGUUGUCUGGGACUCAGCCUUGCUUCUGCAUGGUGUAUUUCCUGGUUAACGGGCCAACAUCGAUUUUGGUCGGUGGAUAAAGUCGAGAGGAAUGUGGCACCUUCGGGUGUGUUAUAGCCUCUUGUCGGAUGCAUCGACUGGGAUCGAGGAUCGCAGCACGCCUUUUGGCCGGGGUUCGCCCACGUAACGUGCUUAGGAUGUUGGCAUAAUGGCUUUAAUCGACCCGUCUUGAAACACGGACCAAGGAGUCUAACAUGCCCGCGAGUGUUAGGGUGGAAAACCCUUGCGCGUAAUGAAAGUGAAAGUUGGGACCUCUGUCAUGGGGGGCACCGACGCCCGGCCUUGAACUUCUGUGACGGCGCCGCGGUAGAGCGUGUAUGUUGGGACCCGAAAGAUGGUGAACUAUGCCUGAAUAGGGCGAAGCCAGAGGAAACUCUGGUGGAGGCUCGUAGCGAUUCUGACGUGCAAAUCGAUCGUCAAAUUUGGGUAUAGGGGCGAAAGACUAAUCG
rnacentral:rRNA from 1 species